GACGAACGCUGGCGGCGUGCUUAACACAUGCAAGUCGAACGGAAAGGCCCUGCUUUUGUGGGGUGCUCGAGUGGCGAACGGGUGAGUAACACGUGAGUAACCUGCCCUUGACUUUAGGAUAACUUCAGGAAACUGGGGCUAAUACCGGAUAGGAGCUCCUGCUGCAUGGUGGGGGUUGGAAAGUUUCGGCGGUUGGGGAUGGACUCGCGGCUUAUCAGCUUGUUGGUGGGGUAGUGGCUCACCAAGGCUUUGACGGGUAGCCGGCCUGAGAGGGUGACCGGCCACAUUGGGACUGAGAUACGGCCCAGACUCCUACGGGAGGCAGCAGUGGGGAAUAUUGCACAAUGGGCGGAAGCCUGAUGCAGCAACGCCGCGUGCGGGAUGACGGCCUUCGGGUUGUAAACCGCUUUCGCCUGUGACGAAGCGUGAGUGACGGUAAUGGGUAAAGAAGCACCGGCUAACUACGUG
rnacentral:rRNA from 1 species